GUUAUGCGCCCAGAGCGAGCGAUCACAUGACCCGUACAGGAAGUUAACUCACAACAAGCCCAUUCCCUACUCUCUCUCGCUAGUUGUUGUGAUACAAAUGCUUGAAGAUUGUGCAGAUGGCUGUGAACGAUAGCUGCAGGCUCUGCUUUGGAAAUUUAAGGAUUGAUGGAGCAAUCACGAAUUCCAAAUUGUUAUUUGACAAAAAGGAAGGCAAUGUUGCGUCGCAAUUAUCUAAACUCGGGUUGAUUGUAAAGGACACGCCGCAGCGUUCAUUCCGGGUCUGUCGCAAGUGCUGCUCCGUUGUCUCACGGCUUCUACAGGACAACGCGAAGUUACAGAAAUGGCACGACCAGGAGACCGCGGAGGUUUUACAACCCCAAACAGACGAAGCUGCUUCGGCCUCCGCCGACAAAAGGGACCGGGAGCCCACUCCAUCCAAAACGCCAAGGCAAUUGAAAAAGGCCAGAACAUCAGCCGGAUUGCCUCCCCCAGCGAGAACCAGCGAGACAGAGGUUGUUAUCAACUACAGUUCUCGGAAGGUGAAAGUGAAGUGCCAGGAUGAUGUGGCGGGUAUUGUCGAGAACUUGGCAAAGAGGAACUUUCGGACUGCAGCCAAUCUAAUCGCACAAAACAGUGAAGUGAUGGAGGAGGUACAAGACCGUGUGUUGGAGGAAGUGGAGGUUGAGUGUCGGACGCUCUGCAACCAGCAAAAUCAUUUCAUGCUGUGGAGGGCAACCGCUACUGAUCUUCAAUCUUUUUCCUUCCACGACUUACACGCUGACCUGAAGAGGCUGUCCCCUUUCCUGUUCAGCGUGCUCGCCAAAAUAUCCAAGGACUCCCUACCACACAUUUGUGCCGCAGCCUCCAUCGCCUUAAGGGGAAGAGAGAACCGGUUAUCAGCCCUGGCCUACUACAUAAAUGCUGUGUUGUUAUACGGUGGAGCAAAGAAGGCAGCAUUCCAGCGACUCUCAAAACUGGGCAUCUGCACAAACCAUGACAAUGCAGUUGCCAAAGAAAAAGAACUGGCUCAGCGCUGUGAGAGUCCUGUGAAAUCACUAAAAAAUGAUUUAGAGUCCUUCCUGAUCCAGAGGAAUAUUCAAAGAGGCCUACCAUCAUCAGGCGCAACGGCACACGCCAUCACGACAAGUUCUGACACAACCACCACCAACACAAGCCCGGUCACAGCAAUCAUCCCUGCCACAUCAGCAAGCUCUGCCACAACUACCAACACAUCAACAGGCACACCUGCAAGUGCUGAGGGGAAUGCCCAGGAUACAUUCACUUUCAGCGACCUGACCGUAGAAGACAUGGAUGAUUUGGGUGUUGCUCCAUUGUCUGCUACGGUUCAUCCAUCCUCUCCAGCGCCGGCACCUCCAACAUACUCCAUAGUAUUUGACAAUCUGGACUUCUACAAGCAGACACAUCAUCAGUCUGUCCAUCACUCCAACAAGUCUAUACACUGGAUUCACCACAUGUGUGUCAUCGACAGAGUCAAUUCACUCCACCUGGACGAACAAAGCAGUGCAGACGCUUUGAUGUCUUAUGCCGUUGGCCAUUCACUCCCCAAUACUGACACGCAAGAAAGUCUACGAAGAGAAUAUGUCGUCUUGGGUAGUCGCAUCCUGACCCAGUAUUUGGAGGCAUUCAAGAGCUUGGCAAGUGUCGUGAUCAAACAUAUUCCACACCAGUUCUCCGAAGAGAUGACCCAGCCCUCUACACAUUACCCACUUGGACUUCUAAUGAAGAAUGAGACCCAAACGGCUGAACUGAUUGAUGUGCUCCAGCAUCUUCAUCAACAGUAUGUCCCAAAACUCCCCGGUGGACCACACAAGAUUUUGGUUGGGGGCGACCGCCUGACAGAGGGGAAUUGCCGGAAUGCCCAGAUAUGUUUUUUAGAAGGACGGGACGAAGAGGAACGGCUGGAGGGACUUGUCUUCAAAUUCGAAGACUGGCAUGCCAUCCGUAACCUCUUUGAGAUCUAUCAUCAGAUCUUCUUCGCUGAGGCAUCAGCAAAAGACCAUGGCACACUAAUCGCCAACAUGAAUCUUUUAAGGAGUCUCUCAAGGGAGUCUUUCCUUUACGAUGAUCCUCGCCAACCCAUGACGGUGGCGUGGAUGUAUGAACUGUGCAUGUCCAAGAAAGCAUAGCCACCAUGAACUAAGGCUGCUUUUCCUCGGGGCCGUUUGGGGAGUGGGGUUAUUAGUACCAGUAAAUACUGAAAAACAGGUGCAGCAAUGCCAAAAAAAGGUCCACGUGCAGCUUACAAUGCAUAUAAGCAAUUUGUUGAGAUGGACACAACUGCACUGUUCCUUGCUGCAGCUAUGGAGCAUUUCAAGUUGGAUGAUGUCACAGAGACUGCUGGAGUUGUGCCAGACCACAUUCGACAGGGCGCUGAGGAGGUGAAAAGGACCUGGCUCCAUGACUCUGUAGCAGAGGUUGUGGACACGUUCUUGACAUUCUCCAACACCUUCAUCGUGCCAGCUGCUGUGACAGAUGCCGCCCAAGGAAACGCCAAAGAGAAGCUUCCUUGCCGCCAGCCUGGAUGUCCAAGGAUUUAUGUGAACAAAAAAAGCAGAGAGACCCAUGAACAGAAGGUCCACCAUCUUGUGGUGGCACCUGUACCACCUGCCCAGCCUGCUUCCUCCAGCCUGGUGGACUGCAAGAGGCAGCAUUCAGAGGCCCGGCUGUCCUUCGGAUUUCUGCUGAUGAACAUGUUGGACGCUGUAAAGGAGGGAGAUGGCGAGCGAUUGAUUCGCCUUUACAAAGACGCUCUGCUGAUUUACAAAGCUUACGGACAUACACAGUAUGCAUACAGCGCUUUCCUCUUAUCUGUCCAGCUAAAUGCCACUUUGUCCCCCCGGCUGGCACAUGACCUAACAUGGAACAGGUUCUGGAACAGCACUGGUGGCAAAGGAAAAAACAUACCCCUUGACCUGCAUCUGGAGCACCUUAACAACUUUCUCAAGUCAUACUUGAAGAACAAGGGCUCCAACCUGACAGAAGGCACAGCCAUGAGGGUCAGCAGGUCACUUGGUGUCUUAAAGACAAUGAUGAACCGUGCUGACAGUCAGCUGCAGCUGGCACGUUACAGCGGUGCCCACCAUGCACCUGAUCGCCAAACUGACAUCUACACUUUGCUGGGGGUGUUCAGAGAAUCAGGAGUUUUCAAAGACCAACCAGGAAGACACUUUUCCGCCUUUCCUAACUUUGACAGAAAUAUUCUGUCCAAAAUGGACUGGGAGAACCUUCACAAAUGGAUGAGAGGAAAGCUUAAAGACUGGAGAGGCUUGGCUUUGUAAUUUAUUGUCAAUUGUGUAUAUAGUGUAUAUAGUGUAUAUACUUAUU